GAUGAACGCUGGCGGCGUGCCUAAUACAUGCAAGUCGAGCGAACGGACGAGAAGCUUGCUUCUCUGAUGUUAGCGGCGGACGGGUGAGUAACACGUGGAUAACCUACCUAUAAGACUGGGAUAACUUCGGGAAACCGGAGCUAAUACCGGAUAAUAUUUUGAACCGCAUGGUUCAAAAGUGAAAGACGGUCUUGCUGUCACUUAUAGAUGGAUCCGCGCUGCAUUAGCUAGUUGGUAAGGUAACGGCUUACCAAGGCAACGAUGCAUAGCCGACCUGAGAGGGUGAUCGGCCACACUGGAACUGAGACACGGUCCAGACUCCUACGGGAGGCAGCAGUAGGGAAUCUUCCGCAAUGGGCGAAAGCCUGACGGAGCAACGCCGCGUGAGUGAUGAAGGCCUUCGGAUCGUAAAACUCUGUUAUUAGGGAAGAACAUAUGUGUAAGUAACUGUGCGCAUCUUGACGGUACCUAAUCAGAAAGCCACGGCUAACUACGUG
rnacentral:rRNA from 1 species